rnacentral:snRNA from 1 species
CGCUUUGCUCAGUGGCAGUAUCCUAGCCAAUGAGGAUUAUCCGAGGAGCGAUUAUUGCUAAUUGAAAACUUUUCCCAAUACCCGGCCAUGACGACUUGAAAUAUAGUCGAGAUUGGUAAUUUUUGACAGUCUCUAUGGAGA